rnacentral:rRNA from 1 species
AUUGAACGCUGGCGGCAGGCCUAACACAUGCAAGUCGAACGGUAACAGAAAGCAGCUUGCUGCUUUGCUGACGAGUGGCGGACGGGUGAGAAAUGUCUGGGAAACUGCUUGAUGGAGGGGGAUAACUACUGGAAACGGUAGCUAAUACCGCAUAACGUCGCAAGACCAAAGAGGGGGACCUUCGGGCCUCUUGCCAUCGGAUGUGCCCAGAUGGGAUUAGCUAGUAGGUGGGGUAACGGCUCACCUAGGCGACGAUCCCUAGCUGAUCUGAGAGGAUGAGCAGCCACACUGGAACUGAGACACGGUCCAGACUCCUACGGGAGGCAGCAGUGGGGAAUAUUGGACAAUGGGCGAAAGCCUGAUGCAGCCAUGCCGCGUGUAUGAAGAAGGCCUUCGGGUUGUAAAGUACUUUCAGCGGGGAGGAAGGGAGUAAAGUUAAUACCUUUGCUCAUUGACGUUACCCGCAGAAGAAGCACCGGCUAACUCCGUG